CCAAGUAGUCGGCGAGUAUGGCUUCGUUUGGAAUUGUGGGGAGAUUGCGUUAUAUGCGAUAAUGCGAUGAAAAAGUACGAUAGAAAAAUAUCCUAAAUAGAAAAAUAUCCUAUUUCUUUCCGCACGUAAUAUUAUAUUCCGCAUAUCACAAUGACUCGCUUAUAAUAUAUUUUCUGCGAUCUCACAGAAAAACGUAGAAAUAUAUCCCUAUACACUUUUACCCCAACUUUAUUCUCAAUACCAAACUAAACCUAUACAAAUGUUACCCAAACCACCAAGUAUAUAAACGCACGCUCCGGUUUCACUGCAUUUGUUUGUUUAAUGUGGGGGCGUGUACGAACUCUGGGCUGGUCUGGGCCAGACUUAAUUUUGGGACCAAGUUAUUAGACCGGUUCGGUUCUGGCCCAGUCCGAUUUUUUUUACCUGCAACGGAUGCGGCCCAGAUUUUCCCGGGCCAUUAUUUUCGACUAGGUUUGCUCAAACCUACUACGGUAAGUCAAUUUAUCCUUACCGCACACCAGUUGAAAAAUCUUACAAAAGGAUUUAGCAGCACGUAACACUCCUCUCAGCGAAAUUAAGAAGGGAAAACUUCAAAAAAAAACCCACGUGGUUUCGCAUUUUUUUAUUUUAAUAUUCUGUAAUUUAAAGUGUAUCAAGUUAGUAUUCUAUAGUUUUGCACUUUCUCAUCACUUUAGUACCAUGUGGUUUAAAAUGUAUCAAGUUAGUAUUUUAUGAUUUUAUUUUUGUAUCAAGUUAGUACCCUAAGAUUUUAUAUCUGUAUCAAUUUAGUACCUUAUGAUUUUUUUUUUUUUUAAUAAAAUAUUAAAUUACAGGGUAUUAAUUUGAUACACUUUAAAUCACAGGAUACUAAAGUGAUGAAAAAGUGCGAAACCAUAGGGUAUUAAUUUGAUACACUUUAAAUCACAGGAUACUAAAGUGAUGAAAAAGUGCGAAACCAUAGGGUAUUAAUUUGAUACACUUUAAACUAAAGGAUACUAAAUUGAGAAAGUACGAAACUACAGAACAGUAAUUUAAUAUAUUUUAAACCACAGAAUACUAAAAUGAAAAAAAGUGAAACAACAAUAGGGGUAUUUGAAGUUUUUCCAAUUAAAGAAUUGAGGGAUGGCUCCGAUAUUUCACAUGGUAUGUACACACGCCCGUUGUAAACGAUUGGUUAACAUAGUUUUAUUUAUACAGUUAGAGAUGUUGGUUUGCAUUUAAAAGAAAAUUAAAACACAUUAAAAUCGUGGGAUUAAAAAGAUAUUGUAGAUUCGACAUUUAUCACCAUGCAUUUAAGGUAUGGAUUCUAUCAAAGCAUUUAAGAUCGUGAGUGGUUGAAUGUUGAAAAAGUUAGUUGUGAACAUUGAGUUCCUUCGCUCAAUAUGUUGUAAUUAGUUUUUAAUCGAUCCUCCUUUUUUUCUUUAUUAAUGGUGUGUUUGGUUCCACGUAAAACCAUAGAAAAAAAUUUUCAAUGAAAAAAAAUUUUUGGUAAAAAAAAAAAAAAUGUUUUUUAGUGUUUGAUUUGGAGGAAAAGAAAAAUAAUUUUUCCAUAACAGUUGUUUGGUUGAAAUAAAAAAAUAAAUAAAAAAUUAUUUAAUAUAUAUUUUUACUUUAUAUAUUAUUAAUAUAUAAUAAUUAGUAUAUUAUAUAUUAUUAUUAAAUAUAUUUAAAAUUGUAAUAAACAUAUAUUAAUAAUAUAUAAGAGUUAUAUUAUAUAUUUAGAAAUAUUAAUAAAUAGAGUCCGGUUAUCAUGCUUGUGAAGCACAAACCAUUUCGUACUUAUAAAUUUUUUACCAUUAAAGUUAUAUUUUAUAUCAUUUUCACCCAUUAGAUUAUACUAUUCAACCAACCAACAACCCUAGAGAGCCCACAUCAUUCUAACCGCACAUAUCUUAAUUCAAUAGACAAAAAUCUUUAAACACCAAUAACUUGAUAUUUUUAAAAACAUAAGAGCUUAAUUCUUAAUAAAUAAUUAUAAAUUUAUAAAUAGAAUAUUAUAUAAUAAUAUUUUUAUAUAAAAAUAAAAUACUAUAUAUAUAUAUAUAUAUAUAUAUAUAUAUAUAUAUAAAGAGUUGAGCUAGAAUACUCUCAAAAGUAUCAAAAAGGUGAUGCUUUUGAGUUUUUAACCUUUGCAUGGAGCGAUGUAGGGUUGGGAUGAUGGUAAUAGGUGGUGGUCGGUAGAAUAGUGUUUGAUCCAAGAACUAUUAGUAAUCAAGGAGUAGAUCUAAGGACUAAAAACGUAGAACCAUCAAGGGGUUGGUGCUUCUAAAAAUAUCCUAGCUCAACUAUAUAUAUAUAUAUAGUCCGGCUACUAUACUAUCGGUAGCACGGAGCGCUCCGUGCUACCGAGUUGUUUUCGAUGAUGCGGCUUUCAAAUCGACGAUCGGCUCCGUUAGACUUGAUCUACAAUAUUGAAAGUAUUUGGAAACUAAAUUUCAUAUUUUUUCAACAUCAUUUGACUAGUGAUCAAAAGAUCUCAAAAUUGACAAUUUUAAUGGCCGAUGUGGUAUGUUUGAGAGUUUAACGGUGUAAAACAAUUCAAAUCCGAUGAAAAUUUUAUAGAAAAUUCUUUUCACUAUUUAGAGUAAGAUCAGUAUAUCUGAUCUUGAAUUUAAAUAUUUUAUCAUCAUUUUUUAUGAGAUUUUUAUUUUUAGCCAUUCAAUUUUAGACUACUUGUUUGAUAGGUAAAUGAUAUCGAAAAAUUAUGAAAUUUAGUUUCUAAAUACUUUUAAUAAUGUAGAUCAAGUCUAACGGAGCCGAUCGUCGAUUUGGAAGCCGCAUCAUCGAAAACAACUUGGUAGCACGGGAGCGCUCCUGCUACCGAUGUGUAUAAGUGUAUAUAUAUAUAUAUAAAUAUAUAUAUAUAUAUAUAUAUAUAUUUAUAUAUAAUAUAUAUAUAUCAACUUAUAUAUAUAUAGUUAGAAUAUUCUCAAAAGUAUAUGAAGGUAUCCUUUUGAUUUUUAGCUAUUGGAUAGAAAGAUGUGAGAUUGAGAUGAUGAUAGUAGGUGUGGUAGGUGAAAUAAUAUUUGAUCCAAAAAUAUUAGUAAUUAAGAGUAGAUUAAGAACUAAAUCUUAAAAGCACCAAAGAAUGAUACUUCUAAAAAUUAUCUAGCUUAAUUAUAUAUAUAUAUAUAUAUAUAUAUAUAAUGAGAGGGAGGUCGACUGUGGACCUCCCUCUCACAUGUUCCAGGAGGUCGAAGUGGCCUCCUAUACCGCAUAAAAGAGUUGGCCAUGAGCCGUGAUUUGGUUCGCUCCGCGUUUUCAUUUUUCGUAGCUCUCGCACAGAAAAUAAAAACAACCGUUUUAUCCUAAAUAUAUAAAAUUAAUUUUUAUGAAAAAAAAUUUUACCUAACAUCAAACGAUCUACAAAUUAUUUUUGGAUCGAAAAUUUUUUUCUAGACACUCUUACAUAAAACCAAAAACGGCCUAAACCACAAAGCCUAUAGAUAUUCGUACACAUGGCACAAGUUCCUUUGUAGGAUUUGGGGCGGUGGAGAUAAUGAAACAAAAGGACCGUUCCACCAACGUCAUCGAUAUCAUAAAAAUGGCACCCAGCUCACGAGAUAUGCCUAGGGAUAUUCUCUUCUCUGCGUAUUAUUACAAUAUUUACGAGGCAUCAAUGAAAAUAGGGAAAACUUCAAAAAACUCCCUGUGGUUUCGUACAUUCUCACUUUGCUACCCUGUGGUUUAAAACGUAUCAAUUUGCCCCCCUGUGGUUUUGUUUUUAUCUUUUUGUUAUCAAUUUUAUUAUUAUUUUUUUUGAAAAUCAGUAACAAAGUUAAAAUUAAAGGAUACUAAAGUGACUAUUCGAUAAAUAUAGAUGGUUAUCUGAAAUUUUUUGUAUAUAAUUUAACGAAAUAUUAACGAAAAAGCUUCCGAAAAGAUAAAAAUAAAACCACAGGGGGGUAAAUUGAUACGUUUUAAACCACAGGGUAGCAAAGUGAGAAUGCACGAAACCACAGGGGAAUUUUUGAAGUUUUUCCAUAAAAAUAUAUGCUUGUGGGAGAGUAUUGAGAAAAUUUUCCCUAAGCAAGAUUAGACAUAAAGCAUUCAAAGCGUACGUACGUACGACUGAUUAGUGCAUUAAUUGUGACAACGUGUAUAUAUCACACUAACUAUUUGAUUAAUUAAUUAGUGAAUUAUCACCGCUCCUAGCAUGAGUAUUACAGAAUUCACUGGUUGAUAUUCGAGGUUCUAAGUUUAAAUUUUAAUUAAUUUAUAUUUUCAGUUAAAUUUAUAUUUUUUUAAAAAAUUAAGUAUUAUACUAUCUUCCUCUCAAAAUAAUAAUAAUAAUAAUAAUAAUAAAUUAUCAUUAAUUUGUGGCUUGUAUUUUUCCUUCACUUAACACGUGCUCAUCAUUUUUAAACUGACAUGAUUGAUAUUUUUUGGAUAACCAAGGAGACCAUCAUUCUCUAAUUUGUAUAACUAAUAUGGUAACAAUAUGUAUAAUUUUUAUUUUUUAAUAAUAUUCCGCAUCGGUUCCUACAGCUCAACUUAAGCUCCUGCUACAUAGCAAUAAGAUCACUUAACACGUGCUCACCGCUUUUAAACUGACGUGAUUGAUAUUUUUUGGAUAACAACGGAGACCAUCACUCUCAAGUUUGUAUAACUAAUAUUUUAACAAUAUAAUUUUUAUUUUUUAAUAAUAUCCAGUGUCGGCUCCUACAGCUCAACCUAAGCUCCUACCACAUAGCAAGCAAACCUCCUACCUGGUCUAGGCAGAAUAUUGAUCCUUUUAAACAACAAUCUUUCAAGCGCAUGUAUAAAUUUACAAAAUGCUAGAAUCGAAUGGAGAUCUUUGAUUCUAAUACCACUUGUCGAAUCAUUUGACGUUAACUAUUAAUCACAAAAACUUGAACUAUUAAAAAUAUACAACCAAUUCGCUUAAAUUGUACAAACACAUUGUUCAUAUGUCUCUAUUGUGCGACGUGGUCCAAUCAGCCUCACGUCAUUUCGAAUAUGACUCGGACCAAUUCCGUCUCCCGUCAUUUUCAAAUAUGAUUUGGCCAAAUUUAAUCUCUCGUCAUAUAACAGAAUCCUAAUCUUUUUAAUUAAAAAAAUCAUAAGAUAUAUAAACAAUCCAU
rnacentral:lncRNA from 1 species